ACGGAAGGCAGCAGUGAGGAAUAUUGGUCAAUGGGCGGAAGCCUGAACCAGCCAAGUCGCGUGAAGGAUGAAGGUAUUAUGUAUUGUAAACUUCUUUAGCAGCAGAGUAAUAAGGUCCUCGUGAGGGCUGAUGCAAGUAUGCUGAAAAUAAGGAUCGGCUAACUCCGUGCCAGCAGCCGCGGUAAUACGGAGGAUCCGAGCGUUAUCCGGAUUUAUUGGGUUUAAAGGGUGCGCAGGCGGGCUGUUAAGUCAGCGGUGAAAUCUCCGGGCUCAACUCGGAAACUGCCGUUGAUACUGGCGGUCUUGAUUCAUGUCGAGGAUGGCGGAAUGCAGCGUGUAGCGGUGAAAUGCUUAGAUACGCUGCAGAACUCCGAUUGCGAAGGCGGCUGUCCAGAGAUGCAAUGACGUUCAGGCACGAAAGCAUGGGGAUCGAACAGGAUUAGAUACCCUGGUA
rnacentral:rRNA from 1 species